UAUUGCCGCGAUCUCAUGCGAGUGACAGGUUGCCCUGCCCUCGCGCCGGUAAACACAUCAUCAGAGAAUAGAAGAGAUGUGGCUGCAGGAGGGAGGGGAAGUUAUUUUGAUUAAACAACUAAUGAUGUGCACGGAUAAAUCAUUUAUAAUAACAUUGCAAUAUUCAAUGAAUAAAAUAAGAACUGUCCAUUUUGAUUUCAUGGUGACUUCAAGUAAAACAAAGACAUAAUCCAAAUUGAAACUGAAGAAUUCGUAUCUUUUCUUUAUUUCAGGGCACUGAAGCCUUUGUUCUGAGCAGCAAAGUGUCCGACUUAUGGGAUGGAACUGCUAUCAGAUAAGGGCUGCUGCUGCUGCCGUCUCCUCCGUCACUCAGGGCUUUGAUCUGAACGAGCAGGUCCUCUUCUGACGGCAACUGAAGCUCCACGGACGUCCUGUUGGUCUCCACUACACCGCUUCCUCUGUGCCAGUUUUGAUGAUACACAACCUGCGCAGGAGAAAGUGGGUGCCUCACAGCGGACGGUUAGGAUUGCAAAUGAAUAGAGUUUCUCCCUUAUGAAAGUGUCUUUGGUGAGAAGUCGCUAAGCUCGUAGCUCCAGAUGGAGGAUAGCAUCAGAGCCAUCCAGCUGUUCGCCGACCCGACAAACCUCUACAUUUCAGAGAGGCCUUCGUCAAUUAGCUGGCAGCACGCUGCAGCAAAUUAAUUUGCUCAAAAGAAAUGAAUCACAUUGGACAAUUUUUAAUCCUCUUUCUGAACAUUUUGUGUGAACUCUUGCUACAGAUGACUUGGGUUUUGAGCGCAGCAGGAGAUCGGAGCAGCUUGUUCUGAAAUGUAAAAAAGCCUCAGAUGUUUCUGAACUGUAUCUAUGACCUUGAGUGUGGAAGUGCUUUAUUGAGCCUUGCAAAAGGAAAUUAGAAAAAAUGAAAGAUUAUACUAAAGUGCAAAUCAAAUCUAGACCUAAAAAAUAUCUUUACAUUUAAUGUCUAGCCAGAUAUCUGCUUUAAUUCAUUCACUUUUAUCAUUUAUCAUUUAUAUUAUUUGCUAAAGGGUCUUGCGAAAAGCAUGUAUCUAUUCCUUGAGUUUUUCAUAAUUAAUUUUAAUAAAAGUUUUGCUAGCAAAAAGGAAAGAGAACGGCUUCUGCUGGCUCUUACUAUAGGCUUCUGCUUAUGCAAAUUUGAUCUGAUUUGAUCAAUCCCACCCAAGAUGACAU